rnacentral:lncRNA from 1 species
CACCAGGGCUCAUAUCACAGUAUGCUGUCACUCAAUGAAGAGACAACAAAAGAAAACAGAUUAAAGUCAAGAAACUUGGGGAAAUGACAUCAAACUAAGAGAGUAUUCUCUAAGCUGGCUAUACUUUGAGUGUCAACCUGGAACAUACCCGUGGAGAGCAAAACUAAGAAACAGCAACAGCUUACACUCAAAGGAGCAUGGACUUAUGGCUGGAUGAUGUGGACAGUGGUCCACAGGACUUUCCCAUCUGCAUGAGCAAUAUGCCUGCAGCCUGAGACUGAAGUCCCCUACAGAGAUCCACUACUGAGAUGAGUUACCUUCACCUCCUCCUUCAUUUAUGUACAACGCUCUGGAAAGUCUUGAAGAGAAAGAAAAAUAGGAAAACAUAAUCUGCAGUUUGGAACUAUCCGUGUGCGAGGAGCAACAGCUGUGUUUCAAAUUACAAAGGGGAAGGUCUGAAACCACCAUUUCCAAGUGCCCAGCUAAUGUCAUUGGAAAUGACAGCAGCACAUUUAUUCAUAAACACCCUCUCACUUACUCUUCCCUUUCUUACUAAAAUGCUGCAACUAUAGAUGAACAGUAAAUAUACUCUACCCAAAACCCAUACAUGUACAUCUACAAGCAUGCUUAUAUCUAGAGAGAAUAAAAGAGAAAACACUUAGAAGCCAGCAUAAAUGUGUUUAUAUAAUACACAAUGUAUAUAUAACAUGUUGAUAUCAACUUACCACUUCAUCCUAG